GGAUGCGAUCAUACCAGCACUAAAGCACCGGAUCCCAUCAGAACUCCGAACUUAAGCGGGCUUGGGCGAGAGUAGUACUAGGAUGGGUGACCUCCUGGGAAGUCCUCGUGUUGCAUUCC
rnacentral:rRNA from 1 species